rnacentral:misc_RNA from 1 species
GCUUCACAGCCACUAUUUCCUUGCUAAGCUUCAUAGUUGGAUACCUAAUGACAAGGAUUGCAAUGGCACUGCCCCAUGCUUGUGUGAGUUGUUAUUAUGUAUGUUAUGCAGAAAAUCCCGAUGGCCAACUAUUCGACGAUAUGAUCAAGGAUCGUCAAGCCUUACUAAAGUCGAACCGAGAUGUAAUUAUGACGCCCCGAAUGCCUCGUCGAAGUAGGACAUGAUCAUUCUCAUUGAAGCUAACUGAUUUCUG